ACGGCUAUGGUAUAUAGAAAAGGUCUCAAGCUUUCGAGUAUAGCCAAGCAGAACCACACGAGCGGGGAGAUUGUGAACUACAUGGCGGUUGAUGUCCAGCGCAUAGGAGACUACUCGUGGUACCUUCAUGAUAUUUGGAUGCUUCCGAUGCAGAUAGUCCUCGCUCUCGCGAUCUUGUAUAAAAGCGUGGGGAUAGCGUCUGUAGCUACGUUGGUCGCGACGAUAAUCUCGAUUCUUGUGACCAUUCCUUUGGCUAAGGUUCAGGAAGAGUAUCAAGAUAAGCUGAUGGCUGCGAAAGACGAAAGAAUGAGGAAGACGUCGGAGUGUCUUAGGAACAUGAGGGUUCUGAAGCUGCAGGCGUGGGAGGAUCGGUAUAGAGUGAGAUUAGAAGAGAUGAGGGAAGAGGAGUACGGUUGGCUUCGGAGAGCGUUGUACUCGCAGGCCUUUGUUACCUUCAUCUUUUGGAGCUCACCGAUCUUUGUAUCAGCCGUUACAUUCGCUACUUCGAUAUUCCUAGGCACUCAGCUGACAGCUGGAGGUGUUCUCUCUGCUCUGGCGACGUUCAGGAUCCUCCAGGAACCGCUCAGGAACUUUCCUGAUCUGGUUUCGAUGAUGGCUCAGACUAAAGUCUCUCUUGAUAGGAUCUCCGGGUUCUUGCAGGAGGAAGAGCUUCAAGAAGACGCAACUGUUGUUAUCCCACGUGGGAAUUCGAAUGUAGCUAUAGAGAUUAGAGACGGUGUGUUUUGUUGGGAUCCGUUUUCUUCAAGGCCGACAUUGUCAGGAAUUCAGAUGAGAGUGGAGAAGGGUAUGCGCGUGGCUGUCUGCGGCACGGUUGGCUCUGGAAAAUCAAGUUUCAUCUCUUGCAUCCUCGGAGAAAUACCGAAAAUCUCUGGUGAAGUAAGUUAAUGCCUCCAAGCUUGCGGAGACCGUCACCACGCGUCAGUGGUACAUGGGGGUUGAUAUCUUGGGGAUGCACGUUAGAUCAGCUCUAACGGCUAUGGUAUAUAGAAAAGGUCUCAAGCUUUCGAGUAUAGCCAAGCAGAACCACACGAGCGGGGAGAUUGUGAACUACAUGGCGGUUGAUGUCCAGCGCAUAGGAGACUACUCGUGGUACCUUCAUGAUAUUUGGAUGCUUCCGAUGCAGAUAGUCCUCGCUCUCGCGAUCUUGUAUAAAAGCGUGGGGAUAGCGUCUGUAGCUACGUUGGUCGCGACGAUAAUCUCGAUUCUUGUGACCAUUCCUUUGGCUAAGGUUCAGGAAGAGUAUCAAGAUAAGCUGAUGGCUGCGAAAGACGAAAGAAUGAGGAAGACGUCGGAGUGUCUUAGGAACAUGAGGGUUCUGAAGCUGCAGGCGUGGGAGGAUCGGUAUAGAGUGAGAUUAGAAGAGAUGAGGGAAGAGGAGUACGGUUGGCUUCGGAGAGCGUUGUACUCGCAGGCCUUUGUUACCUUCAUCUUUUGGAGCUCACCGAUCUUUGUAUCAGCCGUUACAUUCGCUACUUCGAUAUUCCUAGGCACUCAGCUGACAGCUGGAGGUGUUCUCUCUGCUCUGGCGACGUUCAGGAUCCUCCAGGAACCGCUCAGGAACUUUCCUGAUCUGGUUUCGAUGAUGGCUCAGACUAAAGUCUCUCUUGAUAGGAUCUCCGGGUUCUUGCAGGAGGAAGAGCUUCAAGAAGACGCAACUGUUGUUAUCCCACGUGGGAAUUCGAAUGUAGCUAUAGAGAUUAGAGACGGUGUGUUUUGUUGGGAUCCGUUUUCUUCAAGGCCGACAUUGUCAGGAAUUCAGAUGAGAGUGGAGAAGGGUAUGCGCGUGGCUGUCUGCGGCACGGUUGGCUCUGGAAAAUCAAGUUUCAUCUCUUGCAUCCUCGGAGAAAUACCGAAAAUCUCUGGUGAAGUAAGUUAAUAGGUACUUAUUUUAUUAUUCGCUGACAAAAAAAAAAUCAUUAAU
rnacentral:lncRNA from 1 species